rnacentral:rRNA from 1 species
GAGGGAAAGGCGAAAAGAACCCCGGCGAGGGGAGUGAAAAAGAACCUGAAACCGUGUACGUACAAGCAGUAGGAGCCCCAUCACUCAAGUGCCUCGCACUGAGUGAUGCAAUAACAUCACCGAAAAUAGCGCCGAAUUUGCUAACAAGGUUGGUCGAUUUUUUCAAGCCGUCGCGCAGUGUACCUAGAAGUACACGAGCAACGGAAGUUAAAAAAUCGGGCAAGAUUGAACGCAAAGGCAAGCGGGACAUUUGAGGAUGGGGUGACUGCGUACCUUUUGUAUAAUGGGUCAGCGACUUAUAUUCUGUAGCAAGGUUAACCGUAUAGGGGAGCCGUAGGGAAACCGAGUCUUAACUGGGCGAAUGAGUUGCAGGGUAUAGACCCGAAAC